GACGAACGCUGGCGGCGUGCUUAACACAUGCAAGUCGAACGGUGAAGCGCCUUCCUUUUUGGUGGGUGUGGAUGAGUGGCGAACGGGUGAGUAACACGUGAGUAACCUGCCCCCUUCUUCUGGAUAACCGCAUGAAAGUGUGGCUAAUACGGGAUAUUCUGGGUCUGUCGCAUGAUGGGUCUGGGAAAGAUAUUGUUUCGGUGGGGGAUGGGCUCGCGGCCUAUCAGCUUGUUGGUGGGGUGAUGGCCUACCAAGGCGGUGACGGGUAGCCGGCCUGAGAGGGUGGACGGUCACACUGGGACUGAGACACGGCCCAGACUCAUACGAGAGGCAGCAGUGGGGAAUAUUGCACAAUGGGCGCAAGCCUGAUGCAGCGACGCCGCGUGAGGGAUGGAGGCCUUCGGGUUGUGAACCUCUUUCGCCAGUGAAGCAGGCCUGCCUCGUUUGUGGGUGGGUUGACGGUAGCUGGAUAAGAAGCGCCGGCUAACUACGUG
rnacentral:rRNA from 1 species